rnacentral:rRNA from 1 species
AGUGGCGGACGGGUGAGUAACGCGUGAGAAUCUGCCUUGGGGUCGGGGACAACCACUGGAAACGGUGGCUAAUACCGGAUAAGCCGAUUGGUGAAAGAUUUAUUGCCCGAAGAGGAGCUCGCGUCUGAUUAGCUAGUUGGUGAGGUAAGAGCUCACCAAGGCAGCGAUCAGUAGCUGGUCUGAGAGGACGAUCAGCCACACUGGGACUGAGACACGGCCCAGACUCCUACGGGAGGCAGCAGUGGGGAAUUUUCCGCAAUGGGCGAAAGCCUGACGGAGCAAGACCGCGUGAGGGAGGAAGGCUCUUGGGUUGUAAACCUCUUUUCUCAGGGAAGAAGCUCUGACGGUACCUGAGGAAUCAGCCUCGGCUAACUCCGUGCCAGCAGCCGCGGUAAUACGGAGGAGGCAAGCGUUAUCCGGAAUUAUUGGGCGUAAAGCGUCCGCAGGUGGCGAUUCAAGUCUGCUGUCAAAGCACGGGGCUUAACUCCGUAAAGGCAGUGGAAACUGAAUAGCUAGAGUGCCGUAGGGGUAGAGGGAAUUCCCGGUGUACCGGUGAAAUGCGUAGAGAUCGGGAAGAACAUCGGUGGCGAAAGCGCUCUACUGGACGGCAACUGACACUCAGGGACGAAAGCUAGGGGAGCGAAUGGGAUUAGAUACCCC